rnacentral:rRNA from 1 species
GAUGAACGCUGGCGGCGUGCCUAAUACAUGCAAGUCGAGCGAGCGGCGGACGGGUGAGUAAUGUCUGGGAAACUGCCUGAUGGAGGGGGAUAACUACUGGAAACGGUAGCUAAUACCGCAUACCAUCAGAUGUGCCCAGAUGGGCUUAGCUGGUAGGUGGGGUAAUGGCUCACCUAGGCGACGAUCCCUAGCUGGUCUGAGAGUAUGACGAGCCACACGGGAACGGAGACACGGUCCAGACUCCUACGGGAGGCAGCAGUGGGGAAUAUUGGACAAGGGGCGCAAGCCUGAUGCAGCCAUGGCGCGUGUGUGAGGAAGGCCUUCGGGUUGUAAAGCACUUUCAGCGAGGAGGCGGUACUCGCAGAAGAAGCACCGGCUAACUCCGUGCCAGCAGCCGCGGUAAUAC